UUUUUAAGAGUAGCCAAAAAAGCAUAGCAUAUCACAGCAUCAUUAGCACCCUGGAUCAGCCAAAGAGCCCUAAAGCUUGCUAGAUGAUACAUCGAGUCAAUAGUGUUAUCGUAAUGUUCAAACUAUGGCAUCUUGAAUUUUUUCAAUAGGGGUUCCACCAAGAUCUCCAUGGUGAAAGGCGAAUUGCCUAUCACUUUCAAGUCAUCUUUUAUAUCAGCCCU
rnacentral:lncRNA from 1 species